rnacentral:rRNA from 1 species
UGGGGAAUAUUGCACAAUGGGCGCAAGCCUGAUGCAGCAACGCCGCGUGAGGGACGACGGCCUUCGGGUUGUAAACCUCUUUUGGCAGGGAAGAAGCGAAAGUGACGGUACCUGCAGAAAAAGCACCGGCUAACUACGUGCCAGCAGCCGCGGUGAUACGUAGGGUGCAAGCGUUGUCCGGAAUUAUUGGGCGUAAAGAGCUCGUAGGCGGUUUGUCGCGUCUGCUGUGAAAACCCGAGGCUCAACCUCGGGCCUGCAGUGGGUACGGGCAAACUAGAGUGCGGUAGGGGAGAUUGGAAUUCCUGGUGUAGCGGUGGAGUGCGCAGAUAUCAGGAGGAACACCGAUGGCGAAGGCAGAUCUCUGGGCCGUAACUGACGCUGAGGAGCGAAAGCAUGGGGAGCGAACA